UCAGCAUCGUGCUUUGCAACGCCCUGACAAAGACACUUGUAUUCCCAAGACAGCCUUGGAGGAGCUGCUGAUAGGCAUUAACCUCUUUCUGUCCCUAAUAAUGACGGGCAAUGCACGGAUGUUCAGGUCUGGGACUCAGAGCAGAGCCCAAGGCCUGCCCGCCUCCUCUGAACCUGGAGGUGGUGUAGGUAGAACAGAACAUCUGGCCUCACUCAUCCUUCCCGCCAAGGCGUCCUUGCCUGUAUUUAUAUACACUAAAACCUCUGCCCAGAUAAAACAGCCAUGUAAAAUCCAAUUUCCUCAGAAUCUCUUUUGGAGCCUGGGCCUGAGAGAUGGAGUUAGGUAACCCCGGCGGUUACCGCCUGAACCACUCCUGCUGGCUGCAAAGCUUGUAACCUGUCCCCUCCUGGACUGUGAAAAGAACAUAUAGCCCGACCUCCCUGCCAACAAGCUGUACCAUUGGGAAGAGGAGAGCCCAACGGUAGAAGCUCAUCAAUGAUUCCCAGCCUCUGUUUCCAUCAGAAUUGCUUGAUGAAGCUCCUUUAACACAAAUAGAUUUACUCACAUUCCUUAACUGUAAAAGGUGUGCAUGUGCCAGCAGGGGGUUCUGGAAUCAUGUACCUUUGUCAGAGCUCCCCCAUUUAAUUCUGAUACAAUUCCACGUAUUACCUAAAGAGAACCACUACUGAUGCGUUGGGUUUUUGUUUGUUUGUUUGUUUGUUUUGGUUGAAUGUGGUAGCUCAGCCCUGGGUAUUUGCCCUUGUGAAUAUGCCCAUGUCACAAAUGUGUGAAUGUUGGGUAUCUGUGUGAUUGGAUAAGCAUUGCUUUUUGCUUCUCUUUGUGCACCCUCUCUGUCUGGAUGUCACUGGGUACCCAUCGUCCUGUGUGUCAUCAAUGUCGCCUGUGUUUAUUGACAGUACCUAUUGUGUGCGCGUGACAGUGUACAUGCCUGCUCUGAUGAGAGUGAGUGUGGGUCUGUGGUAUGUUUGUGUCACAUUGAGCACAUCUCUGUGGGCUCCAUGGUGGGGCACAGCCAUUGUCUCCAUGUCAUUGAGAAUAUGUGCUGGCAAGAGCUUGUGACACAAAUGGAACUAAGCCGAUCUGCCCCAGAAGCAAAGGCGGCAAUGACCUUCUUUUUCCAAUUAUAUCCUGGUCAGAGGUGAGCGACCUCUCCCCACUGAGGCCUCUGGCUGCUUGUCAUGCAAACCGUGCAGAAGGGCAGAGAUUUGAGGAAUGCAACCGAGUCACAUGUAAAAACAAUCAGCUAUCAAUGGAGCCAGAUCAAUGCCCCAGAUAUCUCUCUCUCUCUCUUUCUCUCUCUCUCUCUCUCUCUCUCUCUCUCUCUCUCUCUCUCUCUCUCUCUCACACACACACACACACACACACACACACAC
rnacentral:lncRNA from 1 species